rnacentral:rRNA from 1 species
AGCAGCCGCGGUAAUUCCAGCUCCAAUAGCGUAUAUUAAAGUUGUUGCAGUUAAAAAGCUCGUAGUUGAAUUUCGGGAUCAAUGUUUCGGUCAUGCCUUUGGUAUGUACUGAUAUUAUUGGUUUCCCACCUUCUAAAGAACCGUAAUGCCAUUAAUUUGGUGUCACGGGGAAUUAGGACUGUUACCUUGAAAAAAUUAGAGUGUUUAAAGCAGGCUCACGCUUGAAUACAUUAGCAUGGAAUAAUGAAAUAGGACAUCCGAUUCUAUUUUGUUGGUUUCUAGGAUCGAUGUAAUGAUUAAUAGGGAUAGUUGGGGGCAUUAGUAUUCAAUUGUCAGAGGUGAAAUUCUUGGAUUUAUUGAAGACUAACUACUGCGAAAGCAUUUGCCAAGGAUGUUUUCAUUAAUCAAGAACGAAAGUUAGGGGAUCGAAGACGAUCAGAUACCGUCGUAGUCUUAACCAUAAACUAUGCCGACUAGGGAUCGGAUGAUGUUGAUUUUUUAAUGACUCA